rnacentral:rRNA from 1 species
UGUUUAUCAAAAACAUUUCCACUAGAAAUAAUUUGUGGUAGUGCCUGCCCGAUGUAUUAUGAAUGGCCGCAGUAUCUUGACUGUGCUAAGGUAGCAUAAUUAAUUGCCUUAUAAUUGGAGGAUUGUUUGAAAGGUUUGACUAGGUAUUAUGUAUAGAUGGGGGCUUUCUUUUGAAAUUGGGGUGUCUAUGCAGAUUUUGACUUUCUUUAAUAAGACGGAAAGACCCCGAGAGCUUUACACUGGUGUUUAUUUGGGGUAAAGGCAUGUGGUUUAUAUGCUUUAUGAUCCUAAUGGAUUGUAAGUUUAAGCUACCUCGGGGAUAACUAGGUAAGAGAUAAGGAGAGGUCAUAUCGAUUUAUCUGAUUGCCAUCUCGAUGUUGACUUGGGGUUGUUUCAGGGGUGUAGGAGUUCCUGUAAUAAGUCUGUUCGACCUUUGUUCCCUUCAUGAUCU